UACGUAGGGUGCAAGCGUUAAUCGGAAUUACUGGGCGUAAAGCGUGCGCAGGCGGUUGUGCAAGACAGAUGUGAAAUCCCCGGGCUUAACCUGGGAACUGCAUUUGUGACUGCACGGCUAGAGUGCGGCAGAGGGGGAUGGAAUUCCGCGUGUAGCAGUGAAAUGCGUAGAUAUGCGGAGGAACACCGAUGGCGAAGGCAAUCCCCUGGGCCUGCACUGACGGCUCGAUGCACGAAAGCGUGGGGAGCAAACAGG
rnacentral:rRNA from 1 species